rnacentral:rRNA from 1 species
GAGUUUGAUCCUGGCUCACGAUGAACGCUGGCGGCGUGCUUAACACAUGCAAGUCGAACGGUCUCUUCGGAGAUAGUGGCGGACGGGUGAGUAACGCGUGAGGAUCUGCCCUUGGGAGGGGGACAACAGUUGGAAACGACUGCUAAUACCCCAUACGGCGAGAGCUGAAAGAUUUAUCGCCCGAGGAUGAACUCGCGUCUGAUUAGCUAGUUGGUGAGGUAAGGGCUCACCAAGGCGACGAUCAGUAGCUGGUCUGAGAGGAUGAUCAGCCACACUGGGACUGAGACACGGCCCAGACUCCUACGGGAGGCAGCAGUGGGGAAUUUUCCGCAAUGGGGGCAACCCUGACGGAGCAACGCCGCGUGGGGGAGGAAUGUCUGUGGAUUGUAAACCCCUUUUCUCAGGGAAGAAGCACUGACGGUACCUGAGGAAUCAGCAUCGGCUAACUCCGUGCCAGCAGC